rnacentral:sRNA from 17 species
GUAAACAACCCCUAAGCCCUUCGGGACUUAGGGGCUUUUAAGGAAACUUAAAAGCCCAUGUUUACCAGACAACUAAUAGGAGUGCCGAAAAUUAGUAGCCGAUAUAGCAGAAAUAGGUACGUUGAGAUGCCGUCUCAGUCUCAACCACUACG